rnacentral:lncRNA from 1 species
GCAGAGGAACAAAGAACCAGCGAUGGGAGAAGAGAUGAGAGCAAAGAACCAGUUUUUGUGUGUGGCUAAAAAAGUAAAAGAGCAGCUUAGAAGCACUUUUUGGCUGAAAAAGCUAAAAAUUUCUACUUUUUCAUUUGCCCAAAAGCACUUCAAAGAAGUUAAAAAUUUGAGCCCAAAUGAAGUGUAUUCUUCAUUACUUUUCACCCAAAAGCACUUUUAUAUGUAAAAGUGCUUUUCAACCGCCCAGAAGAACGGGGCCUAAUUCAAUAAGAAAAUUUAAAUUUAAAUUUAAAUUUUUUUGGUCGAAUCAAGUAUUUAAAUUUUAUUCUGCAAGUUAAUCCUAUAGUUAUAUCUGUUAAGAAAAUAAUCAUCUCAGUCAAUCAAAAAAUAUUAUCACCUUAUUAAAAUAUAAUUAAAUAAAAUUUUAUAUUAAUAUUAAUAAUGAUAUUGAUAUUGAUAUUAAAUAAAAAUAUUUAUAUUAAUAUUAAAUAAAAUAAAAAAAAAUAUCCCACCCCACCGUCCCUCUCUCUUUCCCUCUUUCACAGGUACCAAGCAACUUGAAAAAAAGAAACAUUUUAUACUCAGUUCGUUCCCAUUAAGUUUUGUAACGAUAAUAAUGCAAGCCAAUGUAGGAUUAUGAAAAGAAACAUGACAAAGUAGGAAACUUUGUUCACAGUUAAGUUUAAGCCAUAAUAAUUUACAAAAAAGUCGUUUAGAUACAAAAACCUGUACGCUUUUUACAGGUGAGACUAAAUUGAAAAAGAUAAAAAUAAAAAUAGUUGUAAUUCCUAACCUGUUUUAAUUUCUGUACUUAACUGUGCUCAGCUUCUCUUUCGUACAAAACGGGAGCUGAAUCAAUAUUUUCAAUGGUAUUGGUGCAGGAGCCAUGAGGAAGAAGAGGAGAAUUUGGAAGCCGACGGUAGGGGGAGGGGGAGGGGGAAGG